rnacentral:rRNA from 1 species
UACGGAGGGGGCAAGCGUUGUUCGGAGUUACUGGGCGUAAAGCGAGCGCAGGUGGUUUAAUAAGUCUGAUGUAAAAGGCAGUGGCUCAACCAUUGUGUGCAUUGGAAACUGUUAGACUUGAGUGCAGUAGAGGAGGGUGGAAUUCCAUGUGUAGCGGUGAAAUGCGUAGAUAUAUGGAGGAACACCGGUGGCGAAAGCGGCUCUCUGGACUGUAACUGACACUGAGGCUCGAAAGCGUGGGGAGCAAACAGG